ensembl:lncRNA IGF2BP2-AS1 IGF2BP2 antisense RNA 1
GAAUCCCAGCUCUACCACGAUGCUGAGUCAGUCAUUCAACCUCUCUAAUGCCUCAGCCAUGAGACAGAGAAGAUUCUUUCUAAAUCUAUGAUUUACCUCAUUUUGACAGCAAAACAGAACUGUUGCAAGGAGAAGCAGAAACAAAGAAAAUCUCAGAGGUCUCUUCUUAUGUCUCUGCUAACAAUAAAAAGAACAGCUUUUGGGGAAGUGGGCUGCUUUAUCCUGUAGCCCUCCUCAGAUGCCAAGACUGCUGGGCUGGCCACCAGACUCACGUCCUCAGUAAGGAAUUUACCUCCUACUUUUCUUCGGGGGCAGGUAGGGAAGCACAGCACCAGCCCUCAGCUGUCUUGGGCUCCCUGAUCUGGUUAAGGAGAGUGUAUUUACUCAGGGCCAUGGUGGUGCAUGGAGGAAGCCAACCCUGUCAGCGCUGGCUGGUCAUCAGAAUGGAAGUGGGAGGACAUCCUUCAUUUCCAGGUCAUGCCUGGUUAACAUUUCACCUUAACUGAGGGGCCAAAGAGAGGCUACGCAGCCUGGAUCAGAGCUCCGACAGCCCUUACCUGGUGGCUUGUUCGUGGAAUUUAUCACAU